rnacentral:tRNA from 1 species
GGAGAGGUACCGAAGCGGGCACAACGGCGCGGACUCGAAAUCCGUUGGGGGCCUCAUGUCCCACGUGGGCUCGAAUCCCCCCCUCUCCACAA